UACGUAUGGUGCAAGCGUUAUCCGGAUUCACUGGGUGUAAAGGGAGCGUAGACGGAAUUGCAAGUCUGAAGUGAAAGGCAAGGGCUCAACCCUUGGACUGCUUUGGAAACUGUGCUGCUGGAGUGUCGGAGAGGCAAGUGGAAUUCCUAGUGUAGCGGUGAAAUGCGUAGAUAUUAGGAGGAACACCAGUGGCGAAGGCGGCUUGCUGGACGAUGACUGACGUUGAGGCUCGAAAGCGUGGGGAGCAAACAGG
rnacentral:rRNA from 1 species